rnacentral:rRNA from 1 species
UACGAAGGGGGCUAGCGUUGCUCGGAAUCACUGGGCGUAAAGCGCACGUAGGCGGAUUGCUAAGUCAGGGGUGAAAUCCUGGAGCUCAACUCCAGAACUGCCCUUUGAUACUGGCAACCUUGAGUCCGGGAGAGGUGAGUGGAACUGCGAGUGUAGAGGUGAAAUUCGUAGAUAUUCGCAAGAACACCAGUGGCGAAGGCGGCUCACUGGCCCGGUACUGACGCUGAGGUGCGAAAGCGUGGGGAGCAAACAGG